rnacentral:lncRNA from 1 species
CCGUCCAUCAGCCAGAGCUGUCACUGUCGGACCGGCCCCGGCAGCUUGCAGCCCCGCGAGACGCUCAGUACCACGUUCCUGCGCUGCCUCACUGCCGUGCCCUGGCCCAACGCGCCAGCAGCCACGUGCGGUGCCCGAUUCAGCCCGACUGCAGCAGCCACGGUCCGGCAGCCCCCGACCUCGUGUCGGGCCCCGCGCUCGGGGACUGAAGCUGCGCCCUUCCACCCAACGCGGUCACCCGAGGGCGGCGUAGCCGGGAGCGCUCCUCGCGGCUUUGUUACGGCCUACGGGACACCGCCCAAGGGCGCAGCGAAUCCGGGCACGGCCGGGGCCGGCAGCGACCUUUGUGCGCGCUGGCAGCGGCUGCCGGUGGGGAGGGGCGGGGGCCGGAGCCAGGUCGCUCACACCACGCGCGGGGGCGCUACGGCACGGCCCGCAUUACGGAGGAGGCCGCGCUCCCCGACGCGGGCACCGGUUAACGGUCCGCGGGCGGCUCGGGCCCAGCCCCGUCUCUCCACCUCCUCCGCCGGCCGCACCGGGACGGAGACCGCGGCCGGGAUCGGAGCGGGUCGCCGGGGGAGGAGGAGCGCCGGGCUGGGCCUGGCCGCUCACGCACUCACCUGCCACCACUGCCGCCAGGCCCGGCUCCGCCCCCGCCACACGCCGUGCGCGCUACGUCUGCGCCCUGCGUAUGCUGACGUCACCACGCCUCCCGCGGGGCCGCGCACGCAGCACCGCCGUACACCUCCCUGGCGGCAGGGGGCGCCGCACCCCGCCCACGGCGCCGAAAUCAGAGGCGAACUCGCACUGUGCCGUCACUUUAUUGCCUCCCGUAACAGCGCGGCCGGCCCGAGGCGCUCCACCGCGGCACGGAGCGGCCUUGUCCCGCCCGCCACAUCCGCCUGCGGCCUCCACGUUCGCUCCGCCACGACAGCCCCAAGCCGUUCCUCCGGCUGCACGCAAGGCACUUGCCCCGCUGAUCGCGCCGCAGGCUCAUACCGGAAGCGGCCAAAGGGACAGCCCACUUCGUCCCGCUGUCACUCCUGUACUCUCACACUAGCGCUGCCUUGA